rnacentral:misc_RNA from 1 species
GAUGAAGAACGCAGCGAAAUGCGAUAAGUAAUGUGAAUUGCAGAAUUCAGUGAAUCAUCGAAUCUUUGAACGCACAUUGCGCCCGCCAGUAUUCUGGCGGGCAUGCCUGUUCGAGCGUCAUUUCAACCAUCAAGCCCCCGGCUUGUGUUGGGGACCUGCGGCUGCCGCAGGCCCUGAAAAGCAGUGGCGGGCUCGCUGUCACACCGAGCGUAGUAGCAUACAUCUCGCUCUGGGCGUGCUGCGGGUUCCGGCCGUUAAACCACCCUUUUAACCCAAGGUUGACCUCGGAUCAGGUAGGAAGACCCGCUGAACUUAAGCAUAUCAAUAAGCGGAGGA